CCUACGGGAGGCAGCAGUGAGGAAUAUUGGUCAAUGGACGAGAGUCUGAACCAGCCAAGUAGCGUGAAGGAUGACUGCCCUAUGGGUUGUAAACUUCUUUUAUAAAGGAAUAAAACGAGGCACGUGUGCCUUUUUGCAUGUACUUUAUGAAUAAGGAUCGGCUAACUCCGCGCCAGCAGCCGCGGUAAUACGGAGGAUCCGAGCGUUAUCCGGAUUUAUUGGGUUUAACGGGAGCGUAGAUGGGUUGUUAAGUCAGUUGUGAAAGUUUGCGGCUCAACCGUAAAAUUGCAAUUGAUACUGGCAGUCUUGAGUACAGUUGAGGUAGGCGGAAUUCGUGGUGUAGCGGUGAAAUGCUUAGAUAUCACGAAGAACCCCGAUGGCGAAGGCAGCUUACUAAACUGUGACUGACAUUGAUGCUCGAAAGUGUGGGUAGCAAACAGGAUUAGAUACCCCGGUAGUC
rnacentral:rRNA from 1 species